UGACCCUCUCCUGUUAGACUGUUUGAGAUUUGAUGGAACUCCAUGCCCAGAAGAUGUCAAAUCAAAUCAACACAGUGGGAAGGGGUAUAAUACAAUGAAAAAGAUGUCAAGUUGGAGGACGCAUUAAGGAGGCACAAUUCACUCCAGAGAUACCUCAUACAAUCAUCAUUCUGGGGUUCUUUUGAAGACCCUGACCUGGAGUUACACGCUGAUUAUGGUUCUUUGCGGGUAUGAGACCCGCUCUCGGGGUUUCAUAACUGGCCUUCGUUCGACACGCCAAGGGCUCAGCCUAAAAGUUCAGCUCGACUUUGGAGGCCUCGGAUCUCGGGGCUCUGGAGACAGGUGAAUCGAAGGUCGGUGUCAUGGCAGGAGAUCCGUGUGUCAUUGGGGGAGUUGAAAUAUCUAUGGCUGUGUGCCCAGAGACCUGAGAUCUUUGGGCACAAAGCUUGAAAAAAGCGAUGCAACGGACUUUUAACAUCGUAAACCAACAAGUUGUUUGUUAUGUCUCCCCUCUUGCUGUGAAACGGAGACAUCUCUUUCUCCCUUAUUAGGGAGAGAGAGAGAGCCUGUGGUAUGUCGAAUACCGGGUGAAGCGCAAAAUCUUUGGGGUAACUGCAAGUCUGUGUCUUUGCUGUU